GUGUAUUGUGAACACCUGGGUGUGCGAUGGCUACGCUGAUUGUCCUGAUGGCAGCGAUGAAGUGGGCUGUCCCACAGUCAAAGGCUCAGUGACUCCAGUGGCAACUCUUCCUCCAUCGGGCCGCUGUACUAAAGAUCAGUUCCUGUGCCUGAAACCUCCAGUCUGUAUUGCUGAUUGGAAGCGCUGUGAUGGACAUCCUCACUGCCAGGAUGGGUCUGAUGAGGACAACUGUCCCACUCAUGGUCCGUUGCUCUGUGUGAAUGGUACUCUCUGUGCGGACGGCGAGGCCUGUGUGCUGAACAGCGAGAGGUGUGAUGGCUUCAUAGACUGUUCUGACCGGAGUGACGAGGACAACUGCACUGUGGAUUUGCUGGUCUACAAGAUUCAAAAUCUACA